rnacentral:rRNA from 1 species
ACGGAGGAUGCGAGCGUUAUCCGGAUUUAUUGGGUUUAAAGGGUGCGUAGGUGGACUGUUUAGUCAGUGGUGAAAUGCUGAUGCUCAACGUUAGCAUUGCCGUUGAAACUGACAGUCUUGAGAGUGAUUGAGGCAGGCGGAAUGUGUGGUUUCGCGAAAAAAAGCAAAGAUUUCCCGCAGAACCCCGACCGCGGAGGAAUCUAGCCAAGCCACAACUGACACUGAAGCACGAAAGCGUGGGGAUCAAACAG